CGUAAAAAUAGCAAGGGCGCCCCGGAAGCAGUACGCCGCCACCGGAAGCAGUAUGAUGACGACGCCGGAAGCAGUGUGAUGACGACACCGGAAGCAGUAUGAUGACAAUGCCGGAAGCAGUUCCUUAAGAAGUGAGAAUAACAGCUGCCAAGUACCCCUGAGGCUCCAGGCUUGCCCCACAGCUCCAAUGAGGAAACAACUUGACUGGAUCUGGAACCAACUAAGAGGCAAGCUCAGGGCUCUUCUUGAUUGGAUUACCUCAAGCACGAUCCUUCGCUGAUAUUAGAACCAGACUCUCAAGGUGGACAGAAACCCAGCAACUCUCCAGGACUCUUCCAGGCCAACUAGGUCAGAUUGGGCCUGCAGAAGCAUCCACCCUCAUGGAUUCUCGGCCUUUGCGCUGUGAGACAGCCAUUGUUGGACUUCCCAGAUGAUACUGUUUUAGCCAAUCUAACAAAACUGAUCACUUCCUCUAGGAAACGCUAACUCACAUACUGUAUGUAUGAUCCCUCCACCUCCAUCCUGUUCCAAAGAAUGGAUUUCCACAACUUAAGGCAACGAGAGUGUACACACGCGCCUGUGUUCUCAGCAUUAUUGGAAACACACAGAUGAUAUAAUUCAUUCAAUGUGCCCCUUGCUAGAUGAGCAAACAAAGACAAUGUGAUCUAUCCACACAGUGGAGUAGUAUUCCAUUCCCGAAAGGGAGAGAAUUCAAAUGGAUGAAGCUUGAAGGCUUACACUACGGUGAAACAAGCCAGUCUUCUCAUGAGAACAAAUUCUACACGAUCCCCCUCCCAUGAUGUAGCUGUAGAGAUGGGAAGUUGAGGGUGGGUGUCUGUGGCUUGGGGAAGUAGAGAGAAAAUGUAAA